rnacentral:tRNA from 2 species
AAAGCCUUAGCUUAAUUAAAGCAUAUGCUUUGCACGCAUGAGAUGCUGGAUAAUGCCCGGCAGGUUUUA